rnacentral:rRNA from 1 species
UACGGAGGAUGCGAGCGUUAUCCGGAUUCAUUGGGUUUAAAGGGUGCGCAGGCGGACUGAUAAGUCAGUGGUGAAAUCCCAUAGCUCAACUAUGGAACUGCCAUUGAUACUGUCAGACUAGAGUAUAGAUGACGUAGGCGGAAUGCGACAUGUAGCGGUGAGAUGCUUAGAUAUGUCGCAGAACACCGAUUGCGAAGGCAGCUUACGAAACUAUAACUGACGCUCAUGCACGAAAGCGUGGGGAUCAAACAGG